rnacentral:rRNA from 1 species
CCCUUAGAUGUUCUGGGCCGCACACGCGCUACACUGAAGGAGGCAGCGUGUACUCCUGGAUCGAAAGAUUUGGGUAACCCGCGAAUCUCCUUCGUGCUAGGGAUUGAGGUUUGCAAUUAUCCUUCAUGAACGAGGAAUUCCCAGUAAGUGCAAGUCAUAAGCUUGCGCUGACUACGUCCCUGCCCUUUGUACACACCGCCCGUCGCUACUACCGAUUGAAUGGUCCGGUGAAAAUUUCGGAUACCGGCAUUGCUGGCGGUUCGCCGCCGGCGACGCUGGUAGAAGAUCUUUAAACCUUAUCAUUUAGAGGAAGGAGGANUCGUANCA